CGAAAGCCUGACGGAGCAAGACCGCGUGGGGGAAGAAGGCUCUUGGGUUGUAAACCCCUUUUCUCUGGGAAGAAAGUUGUGAAAGCAACCUGACGGUACCAGAGGAAUCAGCAUCGGCUAACUCCGUGCCAGCAGCCGCGGUAAGACGGAGGAUGCAAGCGUUAUCCGGAAUGAUUGGGCGUAAAGCGUCCGCAGGUGGCAGUUCAAGUCUGCUGUCAAAGACCGGGGCUUAACUUCGGAAAGGCAGUGGAAACUGAACAGCUAGAGUAUGGUAGGGGCAGAGGAAAUUCCUGGUGUAGCGGUGAAAUGCGUAGAGAUCAGGAAGAACAUCGGUGGCGAAGGCGCUCUGCUGGACCAUAACUGACACUCACAGGACGAAAGCUAGGGGAGCG
rnacentral:rRNA from 1 species